GACGAACGCUGGCGGCGUGCUUAACACAUGCAAGUCGAACGGAGUGGCGAACGGGUGAGUAACACGUGGGUGAUCUGCCUUGCACUUCGGGAUAAGCUUGGGAAACUGGGUCUAAUACCGGAUAGUGCAAGAUGAGGUCUCGGCCUCUCAGCUUGUUGGUGGGGUAAUUGCCUACCAAGGCUGCGACAGUUAGCCGGCCUGAGAGGGUGUACGGCCACAUUGGGAAUUAGAUAGGGUCCAGAAGCCUACGGGAGGCAGCAGUGGGGAAUAUGGCACAAUGGUCGGAAGCCUGAUGCAGUGACGUAGCGUGGGGGAUGAAGGCCUUCGGGUUGUAAACUACUUUCGACAGUGACGCGGUACCUGUAUAAGAAGCACCGGCUAACUACGUGCCAGCCGCCGCGGUAAUAC
rnacentral:rRNA from 1 species